CUUAGAAUAUGUCUCUCAACUAAUCCUGAUAGGUUUCUCACAGUAAUCUCAAGGCGAUCCAGGCAAAACACAAGCUUUCUUUAAGCCUUUGACGAAGACCACUCAAGCAAAAUGGGUGUUUUAAUUAGCACAUUGUGCUGAACAGUUCAUGUUUGCACACAAGUGAAAAGGGAUUUACACAGAAGAAAGGAGGAAAUCUCCUGCACAGGAGCCAAAAUGUCGACUGUGUGUCUCUGCAGAGGAAACCUGCCAGCAAUAUAGUACUGUUACUGUGGCUUAAUAGAUUGUUCUGUACACGUGACCCUGCUUAAUGGAGAAGAUGCAUUCAAGAACUUUCUUUUUUUUACGUCGUGUUAUUUGACUUGUAGUAACAAGAGCAAGUAUCAGUUUAAA
rnacentral:lncRNA from 10 species